rnacentral:sRNA from 1 species
AGUUACAACUCAUUCCCGAAAGGAUUCAUAAUAAUGAAGAUGCCUUGUAACCAAUUAUUAAAAGAUAGUGGGGGAAUUAAA